GACGUAGGGCGCGAGCGUUGUCCGGAUUUAUUGGGCGUAAAGAGCUCGUAGGCGGCUUGUCGCGUCGACUGUGAAAUCCCGCGGCUCAACUGCGGGUCUGCAGUCGAUACGGGCAGGCUAGAGUUCGGUAGGGGAGACUGGAAUUCCUGGUGUAGCGGUGAAAUGCGCAGAUAUCAGGAAGAACACCUGCGGCGAAGGCGGGUUGCUGGGCUGAUACUGACGCUGAGGCGCGAAAGCCAGGGGAGCGAACGGG
rnacentral:rRNA from 1 species